AACGCACAUUGCGCCCUUUGGUAUUCCUUAGGGCAUGCCUGUUCGAGCGUCAUUCUCACCUUCAAGCACAGCUUGGUGUUGGGCGUCUGUCCUGCCUUUGGGCGGACUCGCCUCAAAACAAUUGGCGGCCCCUUCAGCGGCUUUGAGCGCAGCAGAAUUGCGUCUCUGGCGGUGGAAGGCGGCAUCCAGAAGCACAUUUUUACAUUUUGACCUCGGAUCAGGUAGGGAUACCCGCUGAACUUAA
rnacentral:misc_RNA from 1 species